rnacentral:rRNA from 1 species
UACGUAGGGUGCGAGCGUUGUCCGGAAUUAUUGGGCGUAAAGAGCUCGUAGGCGGCUUGUCGCGUCGGAUGUGAAAGCCCGGGGCUUAACUCCGGGUCUGCAUUCGAUACGGGCAGGCUAGAGUUCGGUAGGGGAGAUCGGAAUUCCUGGUGUAGCGGUGAAAUGCGCAGAUAUCAGGAGGAACACCGGUGGCGAAGGCGGAUCUCUGGGCCGAUACUGACGCUGAGGAGCGAAAGCGUGGAGAGCGAACAGG